rnacentral:misc_RNA from 1 species
UUGCUAUAGAAAUGAAAUGUGAUAGUUCAUGUUAGAUAAUAAGUAAUAAAUAUGGACAUAGUGCUGCAGUCUGCCACUCAAAAAGUUUUAUUAAUUCACUUUCAGCAACAAAUUAAGGCUACUGUUAAGCAUAAAUGAUUCUAUCAAGCAAGCAUAACAGGCAUCAGAUAGGCUGAUUGACACCCAAGUUCCUCGGACUCUCCAAA